AUGAGAGCCAUCGCGGCGGCGAAGGGCCCGCACGGGAACGACCCGAUGUCGUCCUCCAGGAGGCACUUCAGGUGGCCGGUUCUUGGCAAGAGCGGCAGCCGUGGCGCCGGCGCGGCCAGCGGGGACGAGGGGUAUGUGAGGGGCUCGGAGGCCGAGGAGGAGGAGGAGGAGGACGAGCGCGCCAUGGCCUUCUCGUCCGCCUGCCCCUCCUUCCACUCCGAGGACUUCGUGUCCCCUCCCAAGAAGCCGGUGACGGGGACCGCCGCGCCAGCGCAGGAGAAGCAGCAGCAGAGGAGGAAGGUCCGGACGGCGGUGGCGCGGCUGCGGUCGGCGCUGUCGGCGGCCGUGUCGGGGCGGCGGCGGCAGGUGGGGCUCGGCGCGCGGCUCACCGGCACGCUCUACGGCCACCGGCGCGGCCACGUGCACCUGGCGUUCCAGACGGACCCGCGCGCGUGCCCGGCGCUGCUGCUGGAGCUGGCCGCGCCCACGGGGGCCCUGGUGCGCGAGAUGGCGUCCGGCCUGGUGCGCAUCGCCCUCGAGUGCGAGCGCGCCAAGGCCGCCACCGGGGGCGGCGACGGGGGCGGGAGGAAGCUGGUGGAGGAGACGGUGUGGCGCGCGUACGUGAACGGGAAGAGCUGCGGGUACGCGGUGCGGCGCGAGUGCGGGGCCGCGGACUGGCGCGUGCUCCGCGCGCUGGAGCCGGUGUCGAUGGGCGCCGGGGUGAUCCCCGCGGCGAGCUGCGGCGGCGGGGAGGGCGACGUGAUGUACAUGCGCGCCCGGUUCGAGCGGGUGGUGGGGUCCCGCGACUCGGAGGCCUUCUACAUGAUGAACCCCGACAGCAGCAGCUCCGGCUCCGGCAUCAAUGGCGGGCCCGAGCUCAGCGUCUACCUCCUCAGAGUCUGA
rnacentral:rRNA from 1 species